GGACUACUAGGGUAUCUAAUCCUGUUUGAUCCCCACGCUUUCGCGCCUCAGCGUCAGUAUUUGUCCAGGUAGCCGCCUUCGCCACUGGUGUUCCUUCCGAUCUCUACGCAUUUCACCGCUACACCGGAAAUUCCACUACCCUCUACAAUACUCCAGUCGAACAGUUUAAGAUGACCUGCCUAGGUUAAGCCCAGGGAUUUUACAUCUCACUUAUUCAACCGCCUACGCGCCCUUUACGCCCAGUAACUCCGAUUAACGCUUGCACCCUCUGUAUUACCGCGGCUGCUGGCAC
rnacentral:rRNA from 1 species